rnacentral:ncRNA from 1 species
CGAUUGAGUAGAAGCGGCUAGCAGUCGGUAACCAAGACACUUACCUUCUCGCGGGGCAUUGCUCGUGAC